UGGGGAAUAUUGGACAAUGGGCGAAAGCCUGAUCCAGCCAUGCCGCGUGUGUGAAGAAGGUCUUCGGAUUGUAAAGCACUUUAAGUUGGGAGGAAGGGCAUUAACCUAAUACGUUAGUGUUUUGACGUUACCGACAGAAUAAGCACCGGCUAACUCCGUG
rnacentral:rRNA from 1 species